rnacentral:rRNA from 1 species
AUUGAACGCUGGCGGCAGGCCUAACACAUGCAAGUCGAACGAGUGGCGGGCGGGUGAGUAAUGUCUGGGGAACUGCCCGAUGGGGGGGGCGAGCAACGGGAGACGGUAGCGAAUAUCGCAUACGAUCGGAGAUGCCCAGAGGGGAUUAGCUUGUGGGUGAGGUAACGGCUCACCUCGGCGACGAUCCCUAGCGUGGCGGAGAGGAUGACCAGCAACACUGGAACUGAGACACGGUCCAGACGCCUACGGUAGGCAGGAGUGGGGAAGAUUGCACAAGGGGCGCAAGACUGAUGCAGCCAUGCCGCGUGUAUGAAGAAGGCCUUCGGGUUGGAAAGUACUUGCAGUGUGGAGGCGUUAAUCGCAGAAGAAGCACCGGCUAACUCCGUGCCAGCAGCCGCGGUAAUAC